rnacentral:antisense_RNA from 1 species
UUUUAUGCCCACUAAAAUCUGAGCAGCAUUGGCCUAGGACACAGCUGUUUAAAAAACUCUCCUGCUGAGAUAGACAAGAAAAAUAAAUUUGGAUGAUUUCUGGACUUUAGAUUCCUUAACCUUUAACUCACAUUGGUGCAGUGGCUCAUGCCUGUAAUCCCAGCAUUUGGGAAGGCUGAGGUAGACAGGACCUGAGCCCAGGAGUUGGAGACCAGCCUGGGCAACAUCACUACAUUCCAUCUCUACAAAAAAUUAAAAUUAGCCAGGCGUGGUGGUAUGUGCCUGCAACUCCAGCUACUCAGGAAGCCGAGGUGUUUGGGAGGAUCACUUGAGCCUGGGAAGGCGAGGCUGCAGUGAUCCGCGAUAGUACCAUGGGACUCCAACCUGGGUGACACAGCAAGACUCUCAGAAAGAAGGAAGGGGUGGAUUUCUAUUCAAAUUUGGAGCUGUUCUAACUUGUAGCAUUUUAUAUAGGAAUGUCUUCAUAUUGUCAUUUAGUCUCAUCACAAACCUCUGAUAGACCAUAUGGUUGCAUAUAAUUUAAUUAAGAUAGGAAAUAAAAUAAUAGGGGGUGAUUUUUAGUCUUGGGGAUAGUCAUGGAAAUAAUUUAAUGAAUGUUCUGUUCUGACCCAUUUUAGAACCUUAGCAUUCAUCUCCUUCCUUAAGGGUAUGACCAUAAUAGCAACAUGCUUAACUGAGU